rnacentral:rRNA from 1 species
CUUAUAAAUUUAGCGGCGGACGGGUGAGUAACACGUGGGUAACCUGGCCAUAAGACUGGGAUAACUCCGGGAAACCGGGGCUAAUACCGGAUAACAUUUUGAACCGCAUGGUUCGAAAUUGAAAGGCGGCUUCGGCUGUCACUUAUGGAUGGACCCGCGUCGCAUUAGCUAGUUGGUGAGGUAACGGCUCACCAAGGCAACGAUGCGUAGCCAACCUGAGAGGGUGAUCGGCCACACUGGGACUGAGACACGGCCCAGACUCCUACGGGAGGCAGCAGUAGGGAAUCUUCCGCAAUGGACGAAAGUCUGACGGAGCAACGCCGCGUGAGUGAUGAAGGCUUUCGGGUCGUAAAACUCUGUUGUUAGGGAAGAACAAGUGCUAGUUGAAUAAGCUGGCACCUUGACGGUACCUAACCAGAAAGCCACGGCUAACUACGUGCCAGCAGCCGCGGUAAUACGUAGGUGGCAAGCGUUAUCCGGAAUUAUUGGGCGUAAAG